ensembl:lncRNA
AUGGUUGGAUGGCAUCACCGACGCGAUGGACAUGAGUUUGAGCAAGCUCCGGGAGUUGGUGAUGGACAGGGAGGCCUGGCGUGCUGCAGUCCAGGGGGUCACAAUGAGUCAGACAAGACUGAGCGACGGAACAGCAACAACCCAACAUUAAAACAGCCUCGCCUGCUUGGAAUACAUCGAAGCUGCCCAUGUUGUUAUCAUUUUAAAGUGUUUCUUCGCUUCCUGUGGUUUUUUCCUUUGCCUUUUGCUCAGCAUGCCGACUGCCCUCCAAGUUCCUCUUCUCACACCGUCCUUGUUAGGUCUGGGUGGCAAAGCGGUGUUAGUCUUGCAUCAUUUCAAGGGCAUUUUUUAUUUGUCACUUUCUUUUGGUUGCAGUGGCUGAUGAAGCCACACGAUCCUAGAGUUUUUGAAGAAGAAAGAUGUGACGGCCGUCCCGUUCACGACUCUUUUCCACACAGGCGAUCGAGCACUUGCACGACCUGUGGAACAACCGUUCCUGUUCAUUCCACGUGUGCUGGAUAACUCUGAAAAAUGGGUCGAAAAACUGGAGAAGAAAAUGGUGCAGAAAAAAGACGGGAAAAUACGAACCUUUGUCACAUUUCACGCACCAACUGAAUUCAUUUCCGAUCGUUUUCAUCGCUUGAUUAGACCACUUUCCUAAGAUAGCUUUGGCAUCCUGAGUGACAGCCCUGCUCGUAGUUUUUCAUGGUAAAGCUGGUGGAGGGACGGCCCCGGAGGCCCCGUGUUGGAGACUCCCUGCUUCCACUGCAGGGAGCUCCGUCUUGAUCCCUGGCUGGGGAACAAAAAUCCCAAAAGCUGCGUGGUGUGGACAACAAAAAUAAUAAAGCUAAUUGGAAAUAUUACCUUGUCUACCCU